AAAAAAAAAAAAAAAUGGCUGGGGAUAAAGUGAGUCAUUGACCACUAACAAGAGUUGUAACAGGAAGAUAAGAAUGCUCAAUAACACAAACAACAAGAUGAACAUUAACCAAAACAAAGGAGAGAGAUAGCUCAAGAUAACAUAAAUACUCGAGAGAUAGAGAAGUUCUAUGAGAUCAAAGAAUAUGUAAGUGGUUUCCAAAAACUCCCAUCAUGCAAGCAUGUUGUGCACUUUACAACCAAGCGAGGAAAAAUGCAUAAUACAUACCAAAACAUACUUAAGAGUUCAGAAAGAGAAAACACCCAAACAUAUUGCAACUUAUUUAAGACAAUUGAAUUAAGCUAAUAUCUCAGAAAAGAUGCAUCCAACAACACAUACAUGGAAUAAAUAAAUAAUAAAAAAAAAAAAUAGAAGCACCAAACAAAUAGCCUAUGUGGUUAGAGAAAUAUGCAAUUCAAAUAAACAUAAGGCUAGAAAACAAAUCACAUCAUUCUAAAAGUGGGACACCGCCAGACUUUUACAAGUCCAGAAAAACCUUCAACUUAUCUUUUCUUACCCAUAUGUGUUUGAUACUCAAUGUACUCAUUUUGGGUGUAGAAACGAUAUGUGAUUUUCCCUUACCAAGCUUUGCAAGAGACUUGUCCUUAACUAACUCCAUUUUAGUCUUUGACUUCCUUUUGUUGGAGUACCUGUUUUUCUUAAACCUAUGACAAUAAGCAUUAGAGUUCCAAGGUCUAGAAAACGCACAAGAAAGAACAUAAGAAUCAACAUGAUUAUAAUUAUAAGGAACACGAGAAUAGCAUUUAACAUGUUGAUUAAAAUCCCAACAAAAGAUAUCCAAAUGACCAUCUCUACCACAAUAAGAACAAUGAAAAACAUUAGAUUUACUCAAAGAGUUCUUAUAAGGAGAUGUGGUAGUAGAAGAUGAAACAUGUAUGUCACCAUUGUAUUUAUGACAUGGUGCCUUAUAGGGACGUACGUACCUAGUUAGGACGUACGUACGUCGUCGUAUGGAUUUCUUGUUUUCGACCCAUAUUUCUUUCUUUCUUAACCCUAGGUUAUAAAUAGGUCGUUGGUGUUAUGUGAAAGGUAAGAGUUCCAACCUAGCCUCCAUAGAACCCUAGUUUGUUUGUUGGCUCUUCCACAAAGAUCAUCUUCUUCCUCAAUUGAUCUUUGUGUACUUCUAUCUUCCAUCCUUCUCCAAUUCAUCUUCCUAUUAUUGUUUAUAUUGAUUUAGCUUCGAGUCUUCUUGUGUGUUCAUCAAAAAGUCGAGUAUCCUUGUGUGUUCGUCAAGGAACUCUGGUGUAAGCUUAUUUCAUAGUUCGGCUUCGAGUCUUCUUGUGUGUUCAUUAAGAAGUCGAGUGUCUUGUGCGUACAUCAAGGUACUCUGGUGAAGUCAAGGUGUUAGAGAUAACCAGGAGUGUCAACUCGCAGUGAUUGCAGGUAGUUGAUAGGUUUGUACAUCUCUUUUCAUCUAGUGGAUUUAUUUGUUGUCGCGAGGACAACCGUGGACGUUUCCCACAUUGGGUUUUACCACGUUAAAAAUAUCGUGUGUUCUUUACUUGUUUAUCGCUUUAUUGUUUGCUUUACUAUUGUUAUAUUGCAUAUAUUGGGUUUUCAAUUGGUAUCAGUCGCAGAGCGCUUGUUAUGGAGCGUAAUGGCUCACGCGUAGAUCUUUUUGGUACAAUUAUGAUGAAUAAAGUUAAUUCUUUUGUGUUUGCAGAUCAAUUUUUUCAUAUUUUUGAUAAUUCUUUUUUGGAGAUAAUCGAUAUUUGCAGGUUUGGGAUGAUUGAUUUUGUUUUCGUAGUCUUAUGGUAUGAUUAAUUGAAUUAUUAUUUUUACAUAUGGCUAUUUGUUAGGGUUUUGGUAUUUAAUCAUUUUGAUUGCAUUUUAGUGGUUUCUGGUGUUUGUAGUUUAUUUGUGUAAGGUUGCAUAUCAUGUUGAAUGUUGGGAAGUAUUUAUUUUAUUUUUUUAUUUUUUUUAAAACAAAAGAGAAAAGUUAUUGAAAAAAAAAAUGUUUUGUGGUUUAUCUUGUUAUGGGUGUUUGGAAUACACAUACGUUGUAUAUAUGGUUAGAUUGGUCUAUUGCUUUCAAUCAUACGUGUAUGCUUAGUGCUCAUGAAUAUAACUAUUUUAUUAAACUUAGCAUACGCUUGUGCUCUCAUAUUUAGAUUUUAGACCAAUGUUUAUCUAGUUGUGUCUCAUGCAUAUAUCCUUGCUUGCUUACACUAUGCACGGCUAGGUUGCACUUUGAGAGUUUGUUUGCAUAUCUUUUUCCAUCUUUUGAACAUGAUGAACUUCUAGAAUAAUCAUUAGUUGGAAAUAUACGUAUCCAUGCCUUCUUAUAUUAUCUUGAAUAUUAGUAUGAAGGCGGUGUGGUAGUGGUCAAUAAUUCACAAAAUCCCCAGCCUUUUGAUCUUCUUGAGAACGAAAUCAUUUGGUAUAUAUACACGUUGGGGCCGUGAAGGUCAUGCAAUGACGGAUGCACUCAAGAUAUGUUAGUUCUUGUGUGCACGUUACCAUGAUGUUGCACUACUUUAAGUUUGUUCUUAAAGGGAAAGUAAUUUGAAAAGAUGUAGGCUACACCCUACCAUAUGUUGCAAAAGAUGAAGGUAAAAAUCCCUUUCACAUGUUAAUUUAUGCACAAUAACAAAAAAAAAAAAAAAAAAAAAAAAAGGUUAUAAGUGCAUUUCCCUGUGUCUGUUUAGGCGUUUGUGAAGUGAAAUCCUUCUAAUGGUGAAUACUAGGUGUUUUGAGUGUUCUUAUGGUUUGUGAGUGAGGUUUGAAAAUGACUCUCUUUGUGUUUUCUUUAGCUUUAAUUCCCACACACCAAGGAUGUUUGUAUGAUGCAUUUCUAGUAGAUGUUUGGUUUCUUAUCUUAAUUUUUGAUUGGUGCGUACUUUGUUUAAUGAAACCAAGUUUAUUCAUCUUUACUAAGUAUCUUGGUUUAAUUGAGCUUGCAUAUACUCUCUUCUACCCUUGUAUGCAUGAAUCUUUGUGUGUUUCAAAUAUCCUUAUUUGGUUUGUUUGUUCUAGGUGCAUCUUUCUCAUAUGCAUUGCAUUUAGGUGGAGCUUUCAUUUAGGGGGAGAAUUCUUUGUAUUGACAUCGUGUUAACAAGUGUUUAUUUUAUGGCUUCCGUUGUAUAUCCUUUUUGUUGUUGUUAACAUGAUUGUUCUCCUUCUCAUCUUCUUCUCUUAUUUGUUAUGGUUUGGUUUUUGUUUUCUCUUUCCUUUGUCACCUUACUUCAUUUGUGACAAAAAGGGGGAGAUUAUGACUCUAAUACUAACAUCUUCUUCUUCUUUGUUAGUUUAUCUUGGGUCAUGUUUCAUGUAUGCUACACUUGUGGGGGAGCACAAGUAUUCAUGUUUGAAAUUCGUGAAGUAUGGGGGAGUAGUUCCUAAAAGCUUCCGUUGAUUCUCUGAUUGGUUCAGAAUUUUUCUUGCUUCCGUUUCGUCUCUGAUGAUCAAACCUUCUUGCUCGAGCUGAAUAUCAAAUGAUGGUGACUGGUACGUAUUGAGUAUGAGUGUUCUUGUAGGCAUGUAUUAUAAAUGCCGUUGGUUUGGGUUUGUAAGCACGUAUUAUAAGUGCUUCUAGAGUCAUAGGUUUUUGUCACAAAAUAAAUGUCAAAGGGGGAGAUUGAAACCGGCAUUCGGUUGUUUGACAUUAUUUUGUGACUUGGUGUGUCCGAGGUUAUCUCGCCUUGAUCUCAUUAUUAGGAAUACCUUGAUGUGUGAGCGUCGUCCCGAGUAUCCUUUCUCUCAUCAUGACUGUCAGGUUGUUGUUUGGUACAGGACGUACGUACCUAGUUAGGACGUACGUACCUUGAGUUGGACAGAACUCUUGUUAAGGUUUGGACGUACAUACCUAGUUAGGACGUACAUACCAUAAGUUGGUCAGCAGACUUUCUUCUUUCAGGGACGUACGUACCUAGUUAGGGCGUACGUACGUCGAGUUGGUCAGCAGACGUUUUCGUUCAGGGACGUACGUACGUCGUCGUAUGGAUUUCUUGUUUUCGGCCCAUAUUUCUUUCCUUCUAACCCUAGGUUAUAAAUAGGUCGUUGGUGUUAUGUGAAAGGUAAGAGUUCCAACCUAGCCUCCAUAGAACUCUAGUUUGUUUGUUGGCUCUUCCACAAAGAUCAUCUUCUUCUUCAAUUGAUCUUUGUGUACUACUAUCUUCUAUCCAUCUCCAAUUCAUCUUCCUAUUAUUGUUUAUAUUGAUUUAGCUUCGAGUCUUCUUGUGUAUUCAUCAAGAAGUCGAGUAUCCUUGUGUGUUCAUCAAGGAACUCUGGUGUAAGCUUAUUUCAUAGUUCGGUUUCGAGUCUUCUUGUGUGUUCAUCAAGAAGUCG
rnacentral:lncRNA from 1 species